UCUUCCCGGCAUUUCUUUCCCCCUUCAGCUAUCUUCAUCCUGAAAAUCUCUCCACCCCGAUUCCAUCUUCCCCAUGUCUCUGCGGUUUUGUUUUCCUUUCCUUUUCUUUUCUCCCAUCACUCAGAUAUCUCUCUACUCCGUAUUCCCUUUCUCUUUGCAACUUCGUACCCCAUCCUCAUGAAUCUCUCACUCACAGAGCAUCCCCACCCUUCUCCUCAUUGCGCAUCCCCACCAUCAAGGUGCCAUCGCAGGUGGCCUCUCAUCAACGCCGAUCACCUCCUCCUUUCACCACGCCGUGCGGCUCCACUAGCAAGGGUCCUCAUUGGUUAAUUUUCUCUCACUAGUAAGUCUCUCUCUCUCUCUCUCUCUCUCUCUCUCUCUCUCUCUCUGUGUUUUAUUUUCUUUCCCUCAACAUGUUGUCCAUGGCAGCCCGUCCCGUUCCUAUCAUUGUUCAAGAGCUCUAUACCAUGAUCAAACAUCUUCGUGCACUGCCAACACCGAAGUCACCCUCUUUAUUUUUGGUUCUACGACAGACAAAGGUCCACCCCUCUUGCUGCCAAGGUAUUUUCCUCUCUUUUGAGUAUUCAAACUUUAGCCCUGCUGCAACGUGUUUUCCACUGAAUAAACUCAACUUUUGACAUUGUUGGUGGAUCACAGAGAAGUAAUCUCAUCUCUAGGCAACGUGUGUCGCUCUCUAAUUCCACGGGUCACUGUACGAAAUUAGGUAUAGUAAUCUUCUCUCCACUUUGCAAUGUACUGCUGUGACUGUAGAUUGUAUGAUAAAGUUUCGAAUUAUGUGAAAUUAUGGUGUUAAUUUGGGGUAGUGUUAUUGGUGUUCGUGUUGGUUUGAAAUUGAGGCUGUUUGUGUUGUUGGCGGGGUUAAUGUGUUGGUUGUUGGAUUGAUAUGUGAAGGUUCAGGUUGGUAUGUAGCUGAUUGGGUGGAAUUGUUGGUUGUUUGGGUCAUUAUGUGAUCGUUCGGGGUUGUGUUGCGGUAUGGAGUUUGGUGACUGUCUGGAGUUACUGGUUGGUUGUUUUGAGCUGUAUGUUGGUUGUGUUGGGGUUUAUAUAUAUUGAUGGUUUGAGUUUGACGUUGGUUAGGAUGGGUUUAUAAGUUGCUUUUGGAGUUGAUAAAUGGUUGUUUGGGACGUUGUUUGAUUUGGUUAAUAUGCUUGUUCUUGAGUAUUUGAUUGUGGGACAUGUCGGGAGUAAGUUGGUUAAUUAAGAAGUAUGAUUGUUCUCUUGACGUGUGUGUGGCUGCGUGAGUCACGAGUUACAUGAUUGUUUUGGGUUGACUUGUUCUUGUAUGAGAUAGUUGAUAAGGUUGGUUGUGAUGUGUUUCAGUUAUUAAAAACUCGGUGAAUGUUUUCCUCAUUUAGGUGGUGAGAUUAUUAGAGGGUAGAUUCAAGACUAAGAUAACACGCUACAUGAGUCAGGUAAGCGUGGUUCUUAUACUAAAUUUUGCAUAAAAGAAAUGACUGAGGUUGAUUUUAUGAAAAAUGUGCAUGAUAUGUUUUAAAAAGCAAUGUGAAAAUAACCUCAGUCAUGUGUUCUGCAUUACUCAUGAAACUUUGUAUAAGAAGAAAGUAUUUUUUGUCAUAACUGGUGUAGACAUGAGAUUAUUUUAGCAUCCUGUUUCUGAACUGUGCAAAAGAGCGAAUCUGAGAUCUAAAAGGUUUUUGCGUUGAUUAAGUGAAGAUACUUUGAAUCUAUUUUUGAAUAUGAGAAAUGAUCUGAAUCUAUUCAGUACUCUGUUUUGAUAUGACGUGGCAUUUGAAAACUUUGGUAUGACUUUCUGAUUCUGUUUUGGUUUUGAUUAUGUUUCUGAUCUAUUCCGUAAGGCCCUGCCACGAGUAUAAUAGUG